GGUUCGAUCAUGGCUCAGGAUUGAACGCUGGCGGGAUGCUUUACACAUGCAAGUCGAACGGCAGCACGGACUUCGGUCUGGUGGCGAGUGGCGAACGGGUGAGUAAUGUAUCGGAACGUGCCUAGUAGCGGGGGAUAAUCCACGUGAAAGCGUAGCUAAUACCGCAUACGCCCUUCGGGGGAAAGCGGGGGACCUUCGGGCCUCGCACUAUUAGAGCGGCUGAUAUCGGAUUAGCUAGUUGGUGGGGUAACGGCUCACCAUAUGACGAUCCGUAGCUGGUUUGAGAGGACGACCAGCCACACUGGGACUGAGACACGGCCCAGACUCCUACGGAGGCAGCAGUGGGGAAUUUUGACAAUGGGGAAACCCUGAUCCAGCCAUCCCGCGUGUGCGAUGAAGGCCUUCUUGCCAAAGCACUUUUGGCAGGAAGAACGGCACGGGAUAAUACCCCGUGCAACUGACGGUACCUGCAGAAUAAGCACCGGCUAACUACGUGCAAGCAGCCGCGGUAAUACGUAGGGUGCAAGCGUUAAUCGGAAUUACCGGGCGUAAAGCGCGCAGGCGGUUCGGAAAGAAAGAUGUGAAAUCCCAGAGCUUAACCUUGGAACUGCAUUUUUAACUACCGAGCUAGAGUGUGUCAGAGGGAGGUGGAAUUCCGCGUGUAGCAGUGAAAUGCGUAGAUAUGCGGAGGAACACCGGGGAUGGCGAAGGCAGCCUCCUGGGAUAACACUGACGCUCAUGCACGAAAGCGUGGGGAGCAAACAGGAUUAGAUACCCUGGAGAAUCCACGCCCCAAACGAUGUCAACUAGCCGUUGGGGCCUCGCCUUGGUGGCAGCCAACAUGGUGAAGUUGACCGCCUGGGGAGUACGGUCGCAAGAUUAAAACUCAAAGGAAUUGACGGGGACCCGCACAAGCGGUGGAUGAUGUAGAUUAAUUCGAUGCAAACGCAAAACCUUACCUACCCUUGACAUGUCUGGAAUCCCGAAGAGAUUUGGGAGUGCUCUCGCAAGUGAGAACCGGAACACAGGUGCUGUACGGCUGUCGUCAGCUCGUGUCGAGAUGCUGGGUUGUCUCUCCCGCAACGAGCGCAACCCUUGUCAUUAGUUGCUACGAAAGGGCACUCUAAUGAGACUGCCGGUGACAAACCGGAGAAGGUGGGGAUGACGUCAAGUCCUCAUGGCCCUUGCGGCAGGGCUUCACACGUCAUACAAUGGUCGGGACAGAGGGUCGCCAACCCGCGAGGGGGAGCAAUCCCAGAAACCCGAUCGUAGUCCGGAUCGCAGUCUGCAACUCGACUGCGUGAAGUCGGAAUCGCUGCAAUCGCGGAUCAGCAUGUCGCGGUGAAUACGUUCCCGGGUCUUGUACACACCGCCCGUCACACCAUGGGGAGUGGUUUUACCAGAAGUAGUUAGCCUAACCGUAAGGAGGGCGAUUACCACGGUAGGAUUCAUGACUGGGGUGAAGUCGUACUAAGGUAA
rnacentral:rRNA from 1 species